rnacentral:pre_miRNA from 1 species
AGGGCUUAGCUGCUUGUGAGCAGGGUCUGCACCAAGUCGUGUUCACAGUGGCUAAGUUCCG